UACAGAGGGUGCGAGCGUUGUUCGGAAUUAUUGGGCGUAAAGGGCGCGUAGGCGGUGCGGUAAGUCAACUGUGAAAUCUCCUGGCUCAACUGGGAGCUUGCAGGCGAAACUGCCGUGCUGGAGUGUGGGAGAGGUGCGUGGAAUUCCCGGUGUAGCGGUGAAAUGCGCAGAUAUCGGGAGGAACACCAAUGGCGAAGGCAGCUCGCUGGGACGUUACUGACGCUGAGACGCGAAAGCGUGGGGAGCAAACAGG
rnacentral:rRNA from 1 species